rnacentral:rRNA from 1 species
CCUACGGGGUGCAGCAGUGGGGGCUAUUGCACAAUGGGGGAAACCCUGAUGCAGCGACGCCGCGUGUGGGAAGACGGUCCUCUGGAUUGUAAACCACUGUCAUGUGGGAGCACAUUAAAAAGAUAGUACCACAAGAGGAAGAGACGGCUAACUCUGUGCCAGCAGCCGCGGAAAUACAGAGGUCUCAAGCGUUGUUCGGAAUCACUGGGAGUAAAGCGUGCGUAGGCUGUUUCGUAAGUCGUGUGUGAAAGGCGCGGGCUCAACCCGCGGACGGCACAUGAUACUGCGAGACUAGAGUAAUGGAGGGGGAACCGGAAUUCUCGGUGUAGCAGUGAAAUGCGUAGAUAUCGAGAGGAACACUCGGGGCGAAGGCGGGUGCCUGGACAUUAACUGACGCUGAGGCACGAAGGCCAGGGGAGCGAAAGGGAUUAGAUACCCCAGUAGUC